rnacentral:rRNA from 1 species
GUAGUCUCGCACAGAUGCAUAUCAAUAAGCGGAGGAAAAGAAACUAACAAGGAUUCCCCUAGUAACGGCGAGUGAAGCGGGAAGAGCUCAAAUUUGAAAUCUUAAAGGGUUUCCCUUUACGAAUUGUAGUUUAAAGAAGUGUUUUCUGUUGAGGUUUUGGUAAAAGUUCUUUGGAAUAGGACAUCAUAGAGGGUGAGAAUCCCGUAUUUGACCUUUACUUUCAACUUUGUGAUACACUUUCAAAGAGUCGGAUUGUUUGGGAAUGCAGUCCAAAAUGGGUGGUAAAUUUCAUCUAAAGCUAAAUAUUGGCGAGAGACCGAUAGCGAACAAGUACCGUGAGGGAAAGAUGAAAAGAACUUUGAAAAGAGAGUUAAACAGUACGUGAAAUUGUCAAAAGGGAAGCGUUUGACACCAGUGUUGUUUUUCUGAAAAUCAAUUAAAGAACUGUUUAUGCUAAGCUGUUUAGACUUUAUCAGCUAACUGUUUAGUUUUGAGCUUUUCUUUAACGCACUUUUCAGUUAACAAGUCAACAUCAAUUUCUUUUGCUGUAAAAAAGCUUGAGGAAGGUGGCUUGAGAUUCGUCUUAAGUGUUUAUAGCCUCUUGCCUAUGCAGUCGGAGAGAUUGAGGUCUGCAGCGUAGAUCCUUCGGGGCUAAAUGCAUUUGUGCUAAGUUAUAGCAUUUUAUAGACAACUUGUUGACUAUGAUUUGUCUUGUAGCUUACUCGCUUAUGUUAUUUUACCUACGCUUAGGAUGUUGAAGACUCUACAGAGAUA